GACGAACGCUGGCGGCGUGCCUAAUACAUGCAAGUAGAACGCUGAAGAGAGGAGCUUGCUCUUCUUGGAUGAGUUGCGAACGGGUGAGUAACGCGUAGGUAACCUGCCUUGUAGCGGGGGAUAACUAUUGGAAACGAUAGCUAAUACCGCAUAACAAUGGAUGACACAUGUCAUUUAUUUGAAAGGGGCAAUUGCUCCACUACAAGAUGGACCUGCGUUGUAUUAGCUAGUAGGUGAGGUAAUGGCUCACCUAGGCGACGAUACAUAGCCGACCUGAGAGGGUGAUCGGCCACACUGGGACUGAGACACGGCCCAGACUCCUACGGGAGGCAGCAGUAGGGAAUCUUCGGCAAUGGGGGCAACCCUGACCGAGCAACGCCGCGUGAGUGAAGAGGGUUUUCGGAUCGUAAAGUUCUGUUGUAAGUCAAGAACGGGUGUGAGAGUGGAAAGUUCACACUGUGACGGUAGCUUACCAGAAAGGGACGGCUAACUACGUG
rnacentral:rRNA from 1 species